AGAACGAACGCUGGCGGCAGGCUUAACACAUGCAAGUCGAGCGCCCCGCAAGGGGAGCGGCAGACGGGUGAGUAACGCGUGGGAACAUACCCUCCGGUUCGGAAUAGCUCAGGGAAACUUGGAUUAAUACCGGAUACGGUCGAGAGGCGAAAGAUUUAUCGCCGGAGGAUUGGCCCGCGUUCGAUUAGCUAGUUGGUGAGGUAACGGCUCACCAAGGCGACGAUCGAUAGCUGGUCUGAGAGGAUGAUCGGCCACAUUGGGACUGAGACACGGCCCAAACUCCUACGGGAGGCAGCAGUGGGGAAUAUUGGACAAUGGGCGCAAGCCUGAUCCAGCCAUGCCGCGUGAGUGAUGACGGCCUUAGGGUUGUAAAGCUCUUUCGCUAGGGACGAUAAUGACGGUACCUAGACAAGAAGCCCCGGCUAACUUCGUGCCAGCAGCCGC
rnacentral:rRNA from 1 species